ensembl:rRNA 5S_rRNA 5S ribosomal RNA
UUCCAAGGCCGUAACAGAUGGAAUGCACCUGGUCUCGUCUGAUUUCAGAAGCUAAACUAACCCUGGGCCUGGCUAGUAUUUGGAUGAGAGACCACCUGGGAAUCCCAGGUGGUAUAGGCAG